rnacentral:lncRNA from 10 species
CCGGACUGCGGACCCCGCCCCCGACGGGGGCCAGUCAAAGGAACGGAUGAGUACAAAAAGUUGCUACCCUUGAAGUGUUACCUAUCACUAUCAACCACAGCUUGUUUAUUUGGAAAGAACUUAAGUGAACCGUCAAGAGAAAAACAAAUGCAUAUUCUUUCUACAAAUAGUAGCAUUUAGUAUCUUUCCUGACCACAUUUGCGAAAAGAGGGAAUAGAGACUUCUAUAAUUAAAGGGAAAAGGAAAAUGAAAGGAGCUGAAAAUAGUGAACUGUGUAGUCUGGAUGGCUGAAAUUUGAAAACACAUGAAAUUAUCAGGACUGCCAAACGGUGUUCCUGAGAAACCAUAUCACAGAUUGUGAAGAAAAUCAAUGCUAGAAGAGUCGGAACAGGCACCGUACUCUUACUCCUUUGAAGAAUCCCAGAAAUAGUUGUUGAGGUUUUUUUUUUCUGCUGAGAAAAAAAGAUAUAUUGGAAAUUAAGUCAUCAACAGUACCUUAAGCACCACUCUGUUAUGGUGUAUCUAACUCAUCCAGAGAAAUCAAGAUUAUGUUUUCAUACCAAGAUUGGGGGUUUUAUUUCAUGCCUGUGGAGUCUAUAGUCCUAAGAUUCACAAUGCAAUCCACUCAUGGGAAAGAACCCUUGCAUAAACUGUAAUUCACUUUGUUCAGAAUUUCUCUGGGUAGUUUUGUUUGUUUGUUCGUUUUGGUUUUGUUUUUGUUGAGACAGAGUCUCACUCUGUCACCCAGGCUGGAGUGCAGUGGCGCCGUCUCGGCUCACUACAAUCUCUGCUUCCUGGGUUCAUGCGAUUCUCCUGCCUCAGCCUUCUGAGUAGCUGGGAUCACAGGCGCCCACCACCACACCUGGCUAAUUUUUGUAUUUUUUAGUAGAGACAGGGUUUCACCAUGCUGGCCAGGGUGGCCUCGAACUCCUGACCUCAGGUGAUCUCCCAAAGUGCUGGGUCUCCCAAAGUGCUGGGAUUACAGGCGUGAGCAAUUGCGCCUGGCCUCUCUGGGUAGUAUUUUGAUAGUUAGAGGGUGCAUUUAUUUCUGUCCUUUGCCAGAAGACAUAGACUGUACACAUUUUUUUAAGGUACUUAUAUAACUAUACUGUACAUUAAAAUAUACCACUAGGGAAGUGGAGUACCAUGUUCUUUGGCCACUGUAUCCAGUUUGGAGAGUUAAGUUUUUACUUUAGGGAAGAAGUGGCAGGGUGGGGAGGAAACAGACCCCUCAGCCCUUACCAUUUUUCACGUAGCUGGUUCUUUCUCAUCCUUUCUGUCCCAUCCUACCCAAACAUUUUCCUGCACCAACUUCUAUUGUAGCACCUUGAAUAUUUCCUUCAUAACAUUGUUUUCUCAGAAGUAGAAUAGUAUUUGGUACAAGUUGGUACUCAAUAAACAUUUAUUAAAUGAAUGAAUAUGGAGGAAAUGAUGUACUCAGCUGGCUUUCAUGUAUUAAACUCUAUUUUCAAAGGACGAAAAGGGUCCCAUUUCCAAGAUACAUGCUGAUUUCAUAAAGAAUUUGGUCAGAUCUUGGCUCAUAAGUCAUAUUACAAAUAUCUUUAACAGGUCAGCUCUGGCUUACAAGCCACACAAAGGAUCUGAACCUCUUGGUAGAUAACAGUUAUAUUUACAAAAUGUAUAUAAAAUAAAAUGUUACAUAAAUUAAAAAUAAAAUUAUAUAUAAAUAUAUAUUUUUAACAUUUAUAUAUUAAUUUUGCAAAUAUAAAUAUGAAAAGUGGCUAACAUUGUAUAUAAAAUGCAAUUUGGAAU